rnacentral:rRNA from 1 species
UACAGAGGUCCCAAGCGUUGUUCGGAUUCACUGGGCGUAAAGGGUGCGUAGGCGGUCGGGUAAGUCUGAUGUGAAAUCUCACAGCUUAACCCCGAGCCUGCAGUGGAUACGGGCAGACUAGAGGUAGGUAGGGGAGAAUGGAAUUCCCGGUGUAGCGGUGAAAUGCGCAGAUAUCGGGAGGAACACCGGUGGCGAAGGCGGUUCUCUGGGCCUUACCUGACGCUGAGGAGCGAAAGCGUGGGGAGCGAACAGG